GGGAUUUGGUAAGUUUUGGGGUUUGAAUUGGGAAAAAGAGGAGCUUGAUGAAUCUGUUGCCUUGGGAUCCGUUUGAUAUGGACAGUAGUAACCAAAUUAAGGAUGGGUUUUUCAGCCAUGACUAGUUGGUUAGAGGAUUUUGGGUUUAAAUUCUUGCUUGAUUCGCAAGAUGGGAAUUCAUCAGGGUGCGGGUUUCUAGUUGAUUGAUGGAAAUUGUGAGCCGUUGGGGAUGAAUUUCAGGGAGGGGUUGAACGGUGGUCAUGGUCUGAUGGAUGGUGAAUGAUCAUUGUGGUGUGGAUGGAGGUAAUCCAUCGCAGGCGUUGUUGGUUGCUGUCCCUUGGUUAUUUAGGCUUGGGGGACCUAUUUGUAGUUGAAAGAGUAUGCAGGGAGAUCCACUUUUAUGGAGAAAUAUUAACAUAGUUCAUCCAUUUUGUACUAACAUCACAAAUGAUAUCCUUAUAGAGCUCAAGCCCAUCUUCAUUCUCUCAGUCUAUUUCACUGCUCAAAGCUCACUGAUGCUGGUUUGAAGCUCAAAGGAGUCUUCCGUGAAACAGACGAGAAAGGCGAGUGAGGGAGAAAGGGACAGUCUCCAUGGCUUCACCAAUUGGAUUGAUGUCCUUGAGCCGAAGGUCUUUCAUAACAACCUCUUUAUCUCCACGAAGUAAUGUUGGAUUGAUGCACUUGAGCCGAAGGUCUUUCAUAAACAAUCUCUUUAUCUCCACGAAGUAGUGGAAUCCCUUUGUCUUUUUGCUUGUCUCUGCCACCGUAUUGAAACUUGCUGGCAGGAUCCUUACACUUUUUGGUAAAGUGUCAGCCAUCAACGGAUUUGAUGAGUCUUUACCCGCUACCGUUUGAACGGGACUAGCUGUACCUUUGGCUGAUACAAUAGCUCUUUCUACAUUCGUUGGGGGAAUGUACACCCGUCUUAUUCAUUUUAAAUGAGAUGGAGAACUCUUUGGUCCCUUUGGGUAGUCUUGUAUUUGUAAUGGUAUGUUUUAAUUUUAUUUCCAAGUAAAAACCUUAUUCUUUCUUGUAAUGAGUGGAUAUGUUGUGUCAUUUUUUCCUUUUCAGUCUCUAGUUUCUCGAUGGUCUGGUUUAGUCUUUUGAAUCCUUCAGUCAUUGAAGAACAAUGAUCGCAGAAAAUUAUUUUGUCAGUAUCCCUUUGAAUAUUGUAUUGUAGGAAAGAUGAUCU